rnacentral:rRNA from 1 species
GAACCGUACGAACGUUUAUUCGGAAUCACUGGGCUUAAAGGGUGCGUAGGCGGUCCGGCAAGUUGGGUGUGAAAUCCCCCGGCUCAACCGAGGAAUUGCGCUCAAAACUGCCGGACUUGAGGGAGACAGAGGUGAGCGGAACUCAGGGUGGAGCGGUGAAAUGCGUUGAUAUCCUGAGGAACACCAGUUGCGAAAGCGGCUCACUGGGUCUCUUCUGACGCUCAGGCACGAAAGCCAGGGGAGCGAACGGGAUUAGAUACCCCGGUAGUCCUGGCUGUAAACGAUGAGCACUGGGUUGGAGGCUCCUCCAUAGGCUUCCAGCCGUAGCGAAAGUGCUAAGUGCUCCGCCUGGGGAGUAUGGUCGCAAGGCUG